CCAUAGAGCCUUUGUUUUACUAUUAAAGACUAGUGUGAUCACAGUGUGAUUGUCAGUCAAGAGAGAGGAGCCUUUGUUUUACUCUUACGUUAUCUAACAUUAUCACAACUUCCUAAAGUAGCCUAAAUCUCAAUAUCUCGCACGCAAAGUAUCAAUAAAACAACGUUCAUAAAGUAAGUUCGUGUGGUACAUCUACAACGUGUACAUGAUCAUUGUCAAAUUAAAUGUUACUCUCACCUCCUCCGUUAUGGCAUUAAUCGUUCAAAUUCAAUUCGGAUCUGCUCCCCUCGUCUGAUGACGUUCGGUAUCCACUCGUAAUUACGGGAAGUGAAGUGCCCCUCCCCGCGGAGUUCCAAAUUAUCCCGGGCCUUUACCAGGGCCAUGGUCGGGUGGGCUACUAGGAUCAUAUUCAGGUGUAACGUGUGCGUUUCCAACGAUACUUAUUCCUGCGUAAUACUACUACCAUCAUGGUGAUGUGAUAUGUCUGCAAUAAAGUAACCUUGAAAGCCCAUUUUGUUUGAAGGCAGGUUCGACGUUCUUGAACGCACCUCACGCUGGGUUCUCGACUGCGACGGAAGGGGCGGUGUUUUUCCGACAGUGUUAUCAUCAACCAAAGAUUAUGGAUGACAAGAUAGGUCUACAUGUCUUUCAGCCCCAACAAUGGGAACAUAAUAACAAAUCAUUUGUAGACUGCAAGAAGCCUAAACAUAUAAUAUUUGACUAAAACAUAAUUUCAAACAUUGCUUACAUUUUUAUAUGAUCACGUGUCUCUCUUAUUCAUGUAAAUACUUGGGAACAGAUUUCCUAACUUAAAAUCAAUUGGAGUUGAUUUCCUGGUGUUUUUACAUUUGUUUUAUAUCCAACAAUGAACAUUUAAAAAAAAAUAAUAAUACAUAGUUUUUCUGCUCGGUAAACUUGAGGGGCCAAAUAAAAUCACCCGUGGGCCAAAUUUUGCACACGGGCCGCCAGCUGGGGAACCCUGUGCUACGCUAUAGUCUGAUGCCAUGAAUAGCCAUCUCGAGACAACUCUGACAUAGUGUUUUUUCUCAAAGUUGCCGGGAUGUCAUGUGUUCUACUUAUAUCAGUACACUUGUAAAAACGUAUAUUUGAUCAAAUAAACCUCACGUAGCAAAUAAUUCAUUCAUUUUAUU